CAGGCAGUGGGCAGCCAGACAGGCCAGUGAUGGGAACAGUCACUGCCAUGCCCAUGAGUGAAGUAUUUUUAGGGUAGGUGUAGGGACUCGGCAGCCAUGUUGUUUUUGGGUUUUUGUUUUUUUUUUUAAUUGGAGGAUAAUUGCUUUACAAUGUGCUAGUUUCUGCCAUACAACAUGAAUCAGCUAUUAGUUCACUUUAGUUCAGUUCACUUUAGUUCAGUUCAGUCGCUCAGUUUCAGACAUGACUGAGCGACUGAACUGAACUGAACUGAAUGUAUAUAUGGGGGCUUUCCAGAUGGCGCAGUGGCUAAAAAAGAGUCCACCUGCCCAUGCAGGAGACACAAGAGAUACAAGUUCAGUCCCUGGGUUGGGAAGAUCCCCUGGAGAAGGGCAUGGCAACCUACUUCAAUAUUUUUGCCUGGAAAACUCCAUGUCCGGAGGAGACUGGCAUGGGGUUGCGGAGUCGGACACAACUGAGCCUCUGAACAUGCACACAGUAUAUAUAUGUCAGCCCUACUCUCAAUUCAUCCCACCCUCUCCCGCCGCUGUGUCCAUGUCUGUUCUUUACAUCUGCAUCUCGCUUCCUGCCCUCAGCAUUCAUGUUGAUGAGUAUCUGAGGCAGGAUCCUAGAGAUUGACCUCCUGAGCCGGCCUUACCUGCCAAAAAGAGAUGGAACCAAACAGAUAGAGGAAUUGGGAACAUCCAAGGACUUUUUAGCAACUUUGCUGAUAGCAUGUCCCAACACAAGGCACCUCAUGUCCAUGCUUCCACCCCAGCCCCUGCAGGCCACCUCCCACCAGGCAGGCAGCACAGAUGCCCAUCUCUCCCUAGAUUAGGAUUUGCUGUGUGGAGUGUGAGUAGGUUGCCCUCCUCAGAUGCGGGCCUGGUCCUCAGAGGUGGCCUGAAGGACAGAGCUGCUGCUCCCAUCUGCUUCUCCUGGCCACACCAGCCCACAGAAACAUUUGCUAAGGUGUAUCCAGACAAAACAGCAGCACCCGUGGCAGGGCAUUCCAAAGAACAGCCUGGCAACGAGGUUCCUGUCCACCUCCACCUGCCCCCAAAAGAUCCCUGGAGGGCAGCUCAGACCCAGUGCAGUAAGGCCUGAUGAGGGCACCAUCCUAUCCCCAGCACCUUGAUCAGGGGCUUGCAAAGCAUCUUUAGGGCCUUUUGCAAGAAUUCAGUCCGUCAAGAGUGACUUUAGUUUUUCCUCUGCAUAGACCAGGUGGUCGAAG
ensembl:lncRNA